AGAGAAACGCUCCGGCCACCAGGCCUGCCGAGGAGCCGGACACAGCCUCCGGCCCUCGCCAGCCUGGGCCAGGCCUCAGGGGGAUGUCCAGCCGCGGCCUGGAGGAGCCCAGAGUCCCCCAGGCCUCAGGCCUCAGCCUUCUUCUGGGCUCUCAGCUCAAUCCCCAGGCCAGCCAGGGCCAGGCCUACUUUGGCCACCCUUAAAUCAGAAUGUGGGGUCAGGGGUCACAGAAAAGCCAUUUCUCUGACCUAGUGUUUGGCGUCCGGGAACUCUGUGCCCAACCUUCAGACCCUGGCAGUCCUCACUGAGGCCAUUGGCCCAGAGCCCGCCAUCCCCCGAGACCCCCGGGAGCCGCCUGUUGCCACGUCCACACCUGCCACACCCUCUGCCGGGCCCCAGCCCCUCCCAACCGGGACCGUGCUGGUCCCUGGGGGUCCUGCCCCACCUUGCCUUGGGGAGGCAUGGGCCCUCCUCCUCCCACCCUGCCGGCCGUCACUCACCUCUUGCUUCUGGUCCCCCAGGCCUAGCCCUUGGAAGGAGACAGGAGUCUAGGGAGGCUGAAGCCCACUCCCG
rnacentral:lncRNA from 1 species